AAACAGGAUUUUUUUUCUGACUCAUGCUAUGUACCAGCUAUAUCUCUCCUUAAGGAUAAAAAGGCAUUAGUGGAAAAACAAUACAUGAAAAGAGUCAGCUGUAUCACCUGGGGAGAGACAAAAACUUCACUCAGAAAACUGUUGGGAGCCAAUGCAGACUCUGGAGCACUGGAGUUAAAUGCCCCUAUCCCCAUUAGAAGGCCAGCUGAUGUGUUCUGCAUCAGCUGCAGCUUCCACAUGGUCUUUGAAGGUAGCCCACAUAGAAUGCAUUGCAAUAGUCUAACCUUGAAGUUACAAAGGCAUGGAUGAUGGUGGUCAGAUCUUCAUCUGAAAGAAGGGGUUGCAGCAUUCUCAACAAAUGGAGUUGGUAAAAGGCACUCCUAACUAACACUACCACCUAAAGAUCCAGGUACAGCAGAGGAUUAAGGACCACUCCAAGGCUGUGAACUGGAGUGACAAGGAUGAAACAAAUACUAAUGAGCCGAUAGAGAGGAGGUUUCUUCCCACCACACAGUCCUACUAGUAAAGACGGUUAAUGCAACCUACUUUUAUCCUUCCAUCCACUCCAUCACAGCCAGACCAUCACCCAUCAACAGAGGCUGAGACCCCAAGGACACUGCCAUGAACCAUGAACAAACCCACCCCAUCAUCUGCCACCAGCCAAACCCGGGUGCAUAA